rnacentral:misc_RNA from 1 species
UUUUGUUAAAAUUAUAAUAUUUAAAUACUUAAAUAUGAAAAAUAAAUUAAUUUUUAGUAAAAAAAAUAUAUUACUAUCAGGUCUGGGGCAGGUCGGGUCUAUUCGGGAACAAUUGCUAUCCUAGUUAGGAUGUUCAUGAUGUCAUUCUCUAUAUAAUGUUGAUUAUUGGAUUGGCAUGAUAAUCUUUGAUCGGCUAGCAAAAAUAGAUCUUGAUAGCCAAGUAUCAUGCGAUUUUGUUAGCAGUUUAUAGGCGUGGGACUGUUUGUAGGGAGCAAUGUUUUUGAAUAAUAAUAUUUUGAAAUCAUUGUAUGUAGGUGCUCCCUCAUAGGAUAAAUCUUGCAGUCAAAAUGCUUAAUAAGGUGAUUCUUAGCUUCUAUUAGUGUAAGAUAAUGGUACUAUUAAAAUCAUCAUAUUCUGGAAACAUAUUUUGAAGAUUGUUUUCUACAUUAUAAUGAGCUUAGAGACAAACAAGAAUGGAAUUGGCCAUUUUUUGGCUGUCUUUUGUGGACGUUAAGGUGAAAGUAAUGGUGCCAACGAUUGUUUUGGUUUCGAACCGAAAUAAACUAACCAAAAUGCUAAAAUAUAAGAACCGAAAUUAUGGAAAAAUUGAACUGAACUGAUUAAUUCGGUUUUGUUUGGUUUUUCAGUUGUGGCAUUUCCCCUAUUGCAAACCCAUUUAACCUAUUAAUCACAUGCACCCAUCAAUGGUUCUACCAAGAAAUCAAAACGAAAUACAAGAACAAGAACAUAAUCCCACACUUGAAAUUAGCACAUAAUUAAGAAAAACAUCCUCAAUACACAACCCAAUGAUUACAAAAAGUCUCAAAAGAAUAUAAUUGAAACCUGUAGUCUGUGCCUUCUAGUAAGUUUCAAUGAACAAAAGUAGAGCAUAUUGGAGAUUCCAUUUCUAGAGAUAAAAGAAAGGAGAAAUUAAAAUUGUUUGUUGCAUUGAAUUUUUUUUAUUUGAAAUCUUUAAGUCCAAAUUCUAUUAACAUUUGAAUGGGGGAUCUACUGCAUAGAAACUACUCUCCAUCAUAAGCACCAGCAAUGAAUUAGAGACAGAACAUAUGCUUUCCUUUCACAGUUAACAAAGCCUAGCUAAAUUUUCAGCAAUCCAAUGAUAGAGCAAAAUCCAAUGUGAAGUAAGCAAUUUGCAGCUACCGAAUGAUGGAGAAAAAUCUUAGAAGCCAUAAACCAGCUAAAUUUGCAAAGCACAAUUUCUCAACUAAACAAGCAAAGCCUAGAAGCCAUAAACUAGCUAAAAGAAAAAGAGAGGUCAGUUACUCUAAAGCUCCCAAAAUCAAGAACAUGUAUCGUAUCUGAAAACCCUAGAACUCAAUAUCAGAUUCAAAACAAUACAUCAAAUCCCAUAAUCCCUAUCAACCAAAAGAAAAAUCACAAAAUUCCUAACGUAAAAACAAAAUUGAUGAACAUAAAGAGUAACAGCAAGAGAGAGAAUGUGCAAAUAUUGCACAUAUUGACACUCUCACUCGGCUGCCAUUGUUGAUGAACUCAUCACGUACCUUGUUGAGAAAUCUUUUUCAAUUUGGCUAAUUAUUUGUUUUCCUUUCAAUUUUCUCAGGAAAAUGCAGACAAAAACUAAAAUUGCAAGGAUAAAACUGAAGAAAGAGAUAGCCAAAGAAUGAGAAGUCUAGGGUUUGGGCUAUGAGGGGUUGGUUUGUGUGUAGAGAGGGACAGUGAACAUCGAGGAGGGGGAUGAAAGAAAUAGAGGAGCGGAUAUAUAUGUAUAUGGGUUUGGUUCGAUUAUUUUGAGAACCAAACUAACUGAAGUUUCUAAAAAUCAAUAGUUGAAAAACUAAAUUAAAUUGGCUUAGUUCGGUUUCUCAGUUAUAACUGAAUUCUGCUCUGCCCUACUUGCCAUAUACUUGGUUAUUUACCUAUUUUAUUCUAUAUUUAUUACACUAUGUAAUUUAACUUUUUGUAUAUUUGAUUAAUGUUUGCAAAGUACUUGAUCACUGCUAGAGCAAGGUAAUUACUUGAUCACUGCUAGAGUAACGUAAUUUGAGAUGGGGAUCAAUCCAAUGAAUUAGUAAUGUAUCUUCAUAAAACCUUCUAUAAUUAUUAUGGGUUUGUAAAUGAGAAGGGAUGGUUGAGCAGCCUAAAUUUUGAAAGGGCUUGAAAAGUUCAAUUUAGAUGCCAGUGGGUAGGGGUGGCCACGGUUUAGGAACCGCCGGUUACAGUUCUUGAACAGCCGGUUCAGGUUCAAUAAAAUCA